rnacentral:lncRNA from 1 species
AGAUUUUCUCUAAAAUCGCUUAAUAUUUAAAUUUUUUUGAGUCCAUCAAAUAUCUGAAAAUAUUUUCCAAAAAUAUUUUUUGAAAAACAAACAGAGCCUCAUUAUAUAAUUAAUAAUUAUUAUAUUUGAUCCGUCCACCAUAACUUGCAUUUGAAAAAGUUGAGAGUUUUGCAUUUUUUUAAUUGAUUUAAUUAUUUUUCUCUAACAUAUUUUAUGUAGAUAUUUUUCUUUUGCUGAAUGAAUGGAGCUGAUUCUUGGAGAUGUAGCUUUUUCUUUAGUCAUUUUUACUUGUGUGCUUUAUGCUAUUGAUUUUAACUAAUUAUUCCUGUUUGAAGCCACAGAUUUUGUUUUCUUAGUUGUGCAUGAUAAACAGCUCAAUGAUGAGAACUCAUUAUACAGAGUGGUGACAUUGUUUUUCAGUGUGAGCCUCCUUUAUCUCUUACUGCCCACUUAUCAUUUGGUUGGAUCUAAUUCAGCUUCUCCUUCUUCUUCUUCUUCAUGUCUUAUUAUUAUUAUUAUUAUUAUUGUUAUUGGUGGUGGUGGCGGUGGUGUUGGUGGUGUUACCAUUAUCAUUUGAGAAUCAAGUAGGCUUUAACUGAAAAACAAAGUCUUCACCAACUAUGAAUUGUUAGAGCUAUGAGAUCUGAGAGCUUAACAUCUUACAAUAACACGUUGGUCAAUACUUUAAAUGCAAAUGCCAAUGAAGGUUGUGCCGCACAAAGUCAAUUUACAUGUUUCCCAUCGUUAGCUUNNNNNNNNNNNNNNNNNNNNNNNNNNNNNNNNNNNNNNNNNNNUCCUUUAUUUUCUGUCAAGUUUGUGCUGGCUUUGAUGUUAAAUUGUUUUGCCCUUCAUUGUUUGUUGUCAAUUGCGUAUGUUAGAAAUAAUACCACCAAAGUGUAUUAUGCACAAUAAUGGACAAAUCAACCUAUUUGAGUGGUUGCAUUUUUCUUUCUUCAUUGGUCUCUCACCACUACCUGUAUGUGUUUGUGUGUUUUUGUUGUAAUGCCAGGGUCUAUUUCUGUUGAAUCUAUGAGAGCUCAGGGUCUAUUUCUGAAUUUAGCUCUGGUCCUUGGUGAUUAUUAUUGAAACAUGGGUGGUAUUAUACAGGAUAUUGUGCUAGCAUUCGGGAUGUGAUUUGAAAUCAUGCAAUUGCAUGUUUAGGCUUCAUAUUUUGAAGCACUUGCUGAAGAAUCCAGUUUUUCCAUAUUUCAGUUAAUUUUUUUGUCCUGCAGGUGUCACGUUUUAAUUCACGUUAGAUGUCAAACUUUUGCAUAAUUUUUAAUUAUGAAGGUCUCAUCACUUGGUUCCUAGGUUUUUCAUUGUUGAAGUUCUGUUUUCCAUGACAAUUUCGGUUGAAAUUUAGAAGUUGCAAGAUUUUGAGCUUUUUGAGGUUGGGUUGUGGAGUAUUGAUGUGUUGGAGUUCAUGCCACAACCUUACUCUUAUGAUUGGGGAUUAUGGCUAAUUAACAAUGGUUUACUUUAUGGCUAAUUUGAUUAUUCAAUUUUAAUGUAUUUCCUAAAGCACUUUCAACUUUAAUUGAAAUAUCAUUAAUCUCUCUUUGACUUGCUGUUGUACGUUUCUAGGUUAAUUCAAUUACAAUGUUAUUUCUCUUUUUAUAACUCAAUUUUAUCUUUUCUAACUAACCAUUGUCUAAGUCUGGAAAGAACAAUUAUCCUAUCCAAGGAGACAGGAAAGCCACGCAAAGUAAAAGUAGAGAAAAUAAGCUCUCCCUCAGAAAUCUAGAAAAAAGAAAUGAAUCUUCAUUUUAGAUUGUCAUUUCGUAUAAAAUUCUCUGUAUGAAAUAGCUUAUUCGAAGUACUUAUUUUAUUAUACAAUAUUAUUAUUUUUUAAAUCUAAACUUCCAAUUAAAAUUUUAAAUUUAGAAUUUAAUUAGCUUUAUUUUAAUAAUUAUGUGUAAAAUAUAUCCAAUUAUUAAUUAUAAUACUAUAUUAUUAUUAUUAUUAAAAAUAUUAAUAAUACUCUAUUCAUCCCAUAAAUAUAAAUAUAUUUACUUUUUUUCAUAUAGAUUUAGAAAACAUAGUUUAUGGAAAUAAAUUUAUAUUAUUUUUAAUAUAUAUUAAAAAGGGUUAAAUUCGGUAGUUAACUAAAUAAAUUACUCCAUUUCAAGAAAAAACUAAAUAAAUUACUAUACAAAACAAUUAUUUAUAAUUUGAGACAAAAUAAACCUGAUUUAAUUGUUUUUUAAACUUUUUUCACUUGUUGAGCUAGUCAACUGAGGACUUUAGAGGCGUUGGUCAAAAGCAUGUUGUAAUUUUGUGGGGGGGCAAUGGAAACAGAGUUAUAAGCUCUUGGCUUUUGAAUUUGGUUCAUAUCUUGUCUUAAUUCUCUGUCAAAUUUUGAAUUAAUUGAUUUGGUCUGCUUCACGUCUUUUCGUAUUUCUCUGUCAAAGAUUGAAUUAUUUGAUUUGACUGAUAACACCAACUGAAGUUAUGUUCCUAACAGAAAACAAAAGAAAUCAGCAAUUUAUUCAUAUGGUA